CUUCAAUGUGUUUUUCCCAUAGCUGUUAGCAUUAGCCACCAAACAUCGCAAAUUGUGACCAGAUGUUUCAGCUGCUGUCAACCCAUCGACCACAUUUACAAUUUGGCAACAUUUCCUUUGUGAGGCACCGCACGGCACGUCACGGAUUCGACAGGAAACCGCUUUAUAUAAAGCCCUCGACAGAUGUGCGUUGUCUUCAAAAAAAAAAAAAACAAGACGAGAGGAAAGAAGAAAGAUGACCGCCGUGAUUUGGAGCGUUUCACUGACCCUGGGCUUCUGUCUGCUCUCCACUUCUGCAGAUGCAGCGGACUGCACGCACUACGCCACUAGAGGCAAACGCUACGAUAUCCCUCUGGAGAAAGACAGCAAAGAGAAAAGAUUAAUUUGGACCAAAGUCGCCACAAGAGUGUAUGACAGCAAAAAACAAGUUAAUGAGUACUCAGUCACGGAGGAAGGAAGCUUAAUUCUACCGAAAGUGACCAAAGCAGACGAAGGGGACUACACUUGGGCGCUG
rnacentral:lncRNA from 1 species